UACGGAGGGUGCGAGCGUUAUCCGGAAUUACUGGGUUUAAAGGGUGCGUAGGCGGCCAUGUAAGUCAGGAGUGAAAGUUUGCGGCUCAACCGUAAAAUUGCUUUUGAUACUGCAUGGCUGGAAUCAGGAUGAGGUCAGCGGAAUGUGGCAUGUAGCGGUGAAAUGCAUAGAUAUGCCAUAGAACACCAAUUGCGAAGGCAGCUGGCUAGACCUGUAUUGACGCUGAGGCACGAAAGCGUGGGUAGCAAACAGG
rnacentral:rRNA from 1 species